rnacentral:rRNA from 1 species
AGUGAACGCUGGCGGUAGGCCUAACACAUGCAAGUCGAACGGCAGCACAGUAAGAGCUUGCUCUUACGGGUGGCGAGUGGCGGACGGGUGAGGAAUACAUCGGAAUCUACUUUUUCGUGGGGGAUAACGUAGGGAAACUUACGCUAAUACCGCAUACGACCUACGGGUGAAAGCAGGGGAUCUUCGGACCUUGCGCGAUUGAAUGAGCCGAUGUCGGAUUAGCUAGUUGGCGGGGUAAAGGCCCACCAAGGCGACGAUCCGUAGCUGGUCUGAGAGGAUGAUCAGCCACACUGGAAAUGAGACGCGGUCCAGACUCCGACGGGAGGCAGCAGUGGGGAAUAUUGGACAAUGGGCGCAAGCCUGAUCCAGCCAUACCGCGUGGGUGAAGAAGGCCUUCGGGUUGUAAAGCCCUUUUGUUGGGAAAGAAAAGCAGCAGGUUAAUACCCCGCUGUUCUGACGGUACCCAAAGAAUAAGCACCGGCUAACUUCGU